rnacentral:lncRNA from 1 species
CUCUGAUUGGCUGGCCGGAGGCGGAGCGAUUGUCAGGCGGCCCAAUCGGAGCGUGGUUUCCCACGGGCUCCCGCGGCCCCGCCCCCACGGCCUCCGGUGGAGGCUCCCCUGGCAGCUCCCAUUGGCUGCCGGCGAGCGGUCCAGAGCUCGGCGGGGCACAUCUGCGCCGCCGCCGUCGGGCGCUCAGCUCUGCAGCGCGGAGAUCGCUUUGGAGCUCUCAGCUCCAGGGCCCCAGCGGCCCCGCAUUGUGCCCGGCGCGGGCGCGGGCGCGGGGAUCUGGGGCGGGCUUUGCAGAGCGCAUUUCCUGGAGGUUCUGCUUCUCAGCCACAGAUGGAAAAGAUGGAAUAUCUCUUCCUAGCUCCUAACCUAGCUGUCUCAGUCCAUUCAGGCCACUGUAAUAAAGUACCAGAAACCAGGUUGCUAGUUGAUGGCUGCAUUCCAGAUGUUAACACUGUCAGAAGCUUGACUUCCAUGUGUGCUGGGAAUCGAACUCAGGACCUUGAAUUUGCAAGGUAUUAUGACAAGUACUGGAGAAGGCUUAUGAUCGCCCAGUGGAUGAGACAUGUAUCCGUGCAUACAUGGAUCUGUGCAUACAUGAAGACAGGACUGUAAGGCAGAAGGAGAAGUAUGCAAAACUUAGAAGAGAAAUGCCUGUUGUGUUAGGAUCUGCAGAGGGAGAUCUUUUCUCCUGAUCACUGCCAUAAAUAUUUGAAGAUGAGAUCGGGGUCCUCAAAUUAUUGUCUGCGGACCAAAUCCUGCAGGCUUUCUGGUUUUGUGCAAUCAUUGAAAUACAAAUACUUUUUAUAUUUUUAAAUGGCUGAGAAUUAAAAAAACCCCACAAGGGCAAUAUAGUCAUGUGCCACAAACCAUGUUUCAGUCAGUAAUGGGUCAUACAUUGUUCAGUGGCCCCAUAUAAGAUUUCGUUGUCUGCGAUGUUGUAGCUGGUUUAGUUUGUAUACAUACAUUCUAUGAUGUUUGUACAACGAUGAAGUAGCCUAACGAUGAGUUUCUCAAAAUGUAUCCCCCUCAUUAAGUGAUACACAGCUGUAAUAAUUUGUGCCCUGUGAAAAUAAUAUGAAUUUCAAAUUUCAGUGUUCACAAUAAAGUUUUAUUGGAACAAAGCCAUACUUGCUCAUAUUGCCUGUGGUUGCUUUUACAUUCCAAUAACAGAAGCGAAUCAUCACGACAGAGAGUAUGGCCUUCAAAGCCUAAAAUAUUUAUUACCUGACCCUUUAUAGGAAAGAGUUUGCCCAUGCUGGACUUUGAGUUAUCCAACACUUACAGUAUCGUUGUCCUGUCUGAUGUCCUUUUUCCUCUAUCACCACAUACCCACUAUUCCCUUCUCAUUCCAUCCAUCCAUCCAUCCAUCCAUCCACCCAUCCUUGGUUCCUGGGCCAUCCUGGCAUCAGCAGUUCUUGGAUUUGUUUGUGGGAUGGUUAGUAAUGAUUGCUGUAGGUAGAGCUGCGCUCUCCUCUGCAUCCAAGCCUGGUGCCUCAGGGUUUCCUCAGUGCAACUGUCCCUUGCUCAAACACACCCCCGACACCCACUUCAGUUGCUGAUUGCAUGUCAUCCAUUGGCUCCCAGCAGAGGCCUUUGAAGGACUUCUCCUUGCUCACAAUUUUAGCUUGUGAAAUGGAGUCCCAUUCAUUAAACUGUAAGACACCACUUGACAAGGGAUUUUAUUUUUUAAAUGGCCCCUUGCUUAGCAAAUUUAUUCCUCCUGAGCUACUUUCAUUUUUGGUAAUCUAUAGAAAAGUAAAACAAUGCAGUAAAAUAAUGCAUUAAUGGAAUCUGUAAUCUUUCUCUAGGCACUGGGAACACUGCAAAGCUUGCCAU